rnacentral:tRNA from 1 species
ACCUGGCUGGUUCAGUCAAUAGAGCAUGUGACUCUUGAUCUUAGGGUUGUGAGUUCAAGACCCAUGUUAGGUG